UAGGGAAUCUUCGGCAAUGGGCGAAAGCCUGACCGAGCAACGCCGCGUGAGCGAUGAAGGCCUUCGGGUCGUAAAGCUCUGUUGUUAGAGAAGAACAAGUACGAGAGUAACUGCUCGUACCUUGACGGUACCUAACCAGAAAGCCACGGCUAACUACGUGCCAGCAGCCGCGGUAAUACGUAGGUGGCAAGCGUUAUCCGGAAUUAUUGGGCGUAAAGCGCGCGCAGGCGGUCUCUUAAGUCUGAUGUGAAAGCCCACGGCUCAACCGUGGAGGGUCAUUGGAAACUGGGAGACUUGAGUGCAGGAGAGAAAAGUGGAAUUCCACGUGUAGCGGUGAAAUGCGUAGAGAUGUGGAGGAACACCAGUGGCGAAGGCGGCUUUUGGCCUGUAACUGACGCUGAGGCGCGAAAGCGUGGGGAGCAAACAGGAUUAGAUACCCUGGUAGUCCACGCCGUAACGAUGAGUGCUAGGUGUU
rnacentral:rRNA from 1 species